GGGUUGUGAGGUUAAGCGACUAAGCGUACACGGUGGAUGCCCUGGCAGUCAGAGGCGAUGAAGGACGUGCUAAUCUGCGAUAAGCGUCGGUAAGGUGAUAUGAACCGUUAUAACCGGCGAUUUCCGAAUGGGGAAACCCAGUGUGUUUCGACACACUAUCAUUAACUGAAUCCAUAGGUUAAUGAGGCGAACCGGGGGAACUGAAACAUCUAAGUACCCCGAGGAAAAGAAAUCAACCGAGAUUCCCCCAGUAGCGGCGAGCGAACGGGGAGCAGCCCAGAGCCUGAAUCAGUGUGUGUGUUAGUGGAAGCGUCUGGAAAGGCGCGCGAUACAGGGUGACAGCCCCGUACACAAAAAUGCACAUGCUGUGAGCUCGAUGAGUAGGGCGGGACACGUGGUAUCCUGUCUGAAUAUGGGGGGACCAUCCUCCAAGGCUAAAUACUCCUGACUGACCGAUAGUGAACCAGUACCGUGAGGGAAAGGCGAAAAGAACCCCGGCGAGGGGAGUGAAAAAGAACCUGAAACCGUGUACGUACAAGCAGUGGGAGCACGCUUAGGCGUGUGACUGCGUACCUUUUGUAUAAUGGGUCAGCGACUUAUAUUCUGUAGCAAGGUUAACCGAAUAGGGGAGCCGAAGGGAAACCGAGUCUUAACUGGGCGUUAAGUUGCAGGGUAUAGACCCGAAACCCGGUGAUCUAGCCAUGGGCAGGUUGAAGGUUGGGUAACACUAACUGGAGGACCGAACCGACUAAUGUUGAAAAAUUAGCGGAUGACUUGUGGCUGGGGGUGAAAGGCCAAUCAAACCGGGAGAUAGCUGGUUCUCCCCGAAAGCUAUUUAGGUAGCGCCUCGUGAAUUCAUCUCCGGGGGUAGAGCACUGUUUCGGCAAGGGGGUCAUCCCGACUUACCAACCCGAUGCAAACUGCGAAUACCGGAGAAUGUUAUCACGGGAGACACACGGCGGGUGCUAACGUCCGUCGUGAAGAGGGAAACAACCCAGACCGCCAGCUAAGGUCCCAAAGUCAUGGUUAAGUGGGAAACGAUGUGGGAAGGCCCAGACAGCCAGGAUGUUGGCUUAGAAGCAGCCAUCAUUUAAAGAAAGCGUAAUAGCUCACUGGUCGAGUCGGCCUGCGCGGAAGAUGUAACGGGGCUAAACCAUGCACCGAAGCUGCGGCAGCGACGCUGAUGCGUUGUUGGGUAGGGGAGCGUUCUGUAAGCCUGCGAAGGUGUGCUGUGAGGCAUGCUGGAGGUAUCAGAAGUGCGAAUGCUGACAUAAGUAACGAUAAAGCGGGUGAAAAGCCCGCUCGCCGGAAGACCAAGGGUUCCUGUCCAACGUUAAUCGGGGCAGGGUGAGUCGACCCCUAAGGCGAGGCCGAAAGGCGUAGUCGAUGGGAAACAGGUUAAUAUUCCUGUACUUGGUGUUACUGCGAAGGGGGGACGGAGAAGGCUAUGUUGGCCGGGCGACGGUUGUCCCGGUUUAAGCGUGUAGGCUGGUUUUCCAGGCAAAUCCGGAAAAUCAAGGCUGAGGCGUGAUGACGAGGCACUACGGUGCUGAAGCAACAAAUGCCCUGCUUCCAGGAAAAGCCUCUAAGCAUCAGGUAACAUCAAAUCGUACCCCAAACCGACACAGGUGGUCAGGUAGAGAAUACCAAGGCGCUUGAGAGAACUCGGGUGAAGGAACUAGGCAAAAUGGUGCCGUAACUUCGGGAGAAGGCACGCUGAUAUGUAGGUGAAGUCCCUCGCGGAUGGAGCUGAAAUCAGUCGAAGAUACCAGCUGGCUGCAACUGUUUAUUAAAAACACAGCACUGUGCAAACACGAAAGUGGACGUAUACGGUGUGACGCCUGCCCGGUGCCGGAAGGUUAAUUGAUGGGGUUAGCGCAAGCGAAGCUCUUGAUCGAAGCCCCGGUAAACGGCGGCCGUAACUAUAACGGUCCUAAGGUAGCGAAAUUCCUUGUCGGGUAAGUUCCGACCUGCACGAAUGGCGUAAUGAUGGCCAGGCUGUCUCCACCCGAGACUCAGUGAAAUUGAACUCGCUGUGAAGAUGCAGUGUACCCGCGGCAAGACGGAAAGACCCCGUGAACCUUUACUAUAGCUUGACACUGAACAUUGAGCCUUGAUGUGUAGGAUAGGUGGGAGGCUUAGAAGUGUGGACGCCAGUCUGCAUGGAGCCGACCUUGAAAUACCACCCUUUAAUGUUUGAUGUUCUAACGUUGACCCGUAAUCCGGGUUGCGGACAGUGUCUGGUGGGUAGUUUGACUGGGGCGGUCUCCUCCUAAAGAGUAACGGAGGAGCACGAAGGUUGGCUAAUCCUGGUCGGACAUCAGGAGGUUAGUGCAAUGGCAUAAGCCAGCUUGACUGCGAGCGUGACGGCGCGAGCAGGUGCGAAAGCAGGUCAUAGUGAUCCGGUGGUUCUGAAUGGAAGGGCCAUCGCUCAACGGAUAAAAGGUACUCCGGGGAUAACAGGCUGAUACCGCCCAAGAGUUCAUAUCGACGGCGGUGUUUGGCACCUCGAUGUCGGCUCAUCACAUCCUGGGGCUGAAGUAGGUCCCAAGGGUAUGGCUGUUCGCCAUUUAAAGUGGUACGCGAGCUGGGUUUAGAACGUCGUGAGACAGUUCGGUCCCUAUCUGCCGUGGGCGCUGGAGAACUGAGGGGGGCUGCUCCUAGUACGAGAGGACCGGAGUGGACGCAUCACUGGUGUUCGGGUUGUCAUGCCAAUGGCACUGCCCGGUAGCUAAAUGCGGAAGAGAUAAGUGCUGAAAGCAUCUAAGCACGAAACUUGCCCCGAGAUGAGUUCUCCCUGACUCCUUGAGAGUCCUGAAGGAACGUUGAAGACGACGACGUUGAUAGGCCGGGUGUGUAAGCGCAGCGAUGCGUUGAGCUAACCGGUACUAAUGAACCGUGAGGCUUAACCUUACAACGCCGAAGCUGUU
rnacentral:rRNA from 1 species